GAUUUAUUGGGCGUAAAGCGAGCGCAGGCGGUUGCUUAGGUCUGAUGUGAAAGCCUUCGGCUUAACCGAAGAAGUGCAUCGGAAACCGGGCGACUUGAGUGCAGAAGAGGACAGUGGAACUCCAUGUGUAGCGGUGGAAUGCGUAGAUAUAUGGAAGGAACACCAGUGGCGAAGGCGGCUGUCUGGUCUGCAACUGACACUGAGGCUCGAAAGCAUGGGUAGCGAACAGGAUUAGAUACCCUGGUAGUCCAUGCCGUAAACGAUGAGUGCUAGGUGUUGGAGGGUUUCCGCCCUUCAGUGCCGGAGCUAACGCAUUAAGCACUCCGCCUGGGGAGUACGACCGCAAGGUUGAAACUCAAAGGAAUUGACGGGGGCCCGCACAAGCGGUGGAGCAUGUGGUUUAAUUCGAAGCUACGCGAAGAACCUUACCAGGUCUUGACAUCUUGCGCUAACCUUAGAGAUAAGGCGUUCCCUUCGGGGACGCAAUGACAGGUGGUGCAUGGUCGUCGUCAGCUCGUGUCGUGAGAUGUUGGGUUAAGUCCCGCAACGAGCGCAACCCUUGUUACUAGUUGCCAGCAUUAAGUUGGGCACUCUAGUGAGACUGCCGGUGACAAACCGGAGGAAGGUGGGGACGACGUCAGAUCAUCAUGCCCCUUAUGACCUGGGCUACACACGUGCUACAAUGGACGGUACAACGAGUCGCAAGCUCGCGAGAGUAAGCUAAUCUCUUAAAGCCGUUCUCAGUUCGGACUGUAGGCUGCAACUCGCCUACACGAAGUCGGAAUCGCUAGUAAUCGCGGAUCAGCAUGCCGCGGUGAAUACGUUCCCGGGCCUUGUACACACCGCCCG
rnacentral:rRNA from 1 species